rnacentral:rRNA from 1 species
AAAUAGAUACCCAGGUAGUCCACGCCGUAAACGAUGAGUGCUAAGUGUUAGAGGGUUUCCGCCCUUUAGUGCUGCAGCUAACGCAUUAAGCACUCCGCCUGGGGAGUACGGCCGCAAGGCUGAAACUCAAAGGAAUUGACGGGGGCCCGCACAAGCGGUGGAGCAUGUGGUUUAAUUCGAAGCAACGCGAAGAACCUUACCAGGUCUUGACAUCCUCUGCCAACCCUAGAGAUAGGGCGUUCCCCUUCGGGGGACAGAGUGACAGGUGGUGCAUGGUUGUCGCCAGCUCGUGUCGUGAGAUGUUGGGUUAAGUCCCGCAACGAGCGCAACCCUUGAUCUUAGUUGCCAGCAUUCAGUUGGGCACUCUAAGGUGACUGCCGGUGACAAACCGGAGGAAGGUGGGGAUGACGUCAAAUCAUCAUGCCCCUUAUGACCUGGGCUACACACGUGCUACAAUGGAUGGUACAAAGAGCUGCGAACCCGCGAGGGUAAGCGAAUCUCAUAAAGCCAUUCUCAGUUCGGAUUGU